CCUACGGGAGGCAGCAGUGGGGAAUAUUGGGAAAUGGGCGCAAGCCUGACCCAGCAACGCCGCGUGAAGGAAGAAGGCUUUCGGGUUGUAAACCUCUUUUCUGAGGGACGAAGAAAGUGACGGUACCUCAGGAAUAAGCCACGGAUAACUACGUACCAGCAGCCGCGGUAAUACGGAGGUGGCAAGCGUUAUCCGGAUUUAUUGGGUGUAAAGGGCGCGUAGGCGGGAAAGUAAGUCAGAUGUGAAAGCCCCGGGCUCAACCAUGGGCCUGCAUUUGAAACUGGUUUUCUUGAGUGCUGGAGAGGAGAUCGGAAUUCCUGGUGUAGCGGUGAAAUGCGUAGAUAUACGGAAGAACACCAGUGGCGAAGGCGGAUUGCUGGACAGUAACUGACGCUGAGGCGCGAAAGCGUGGGGAGCAAACAGGAUUAGAUACCCUUGUAGUC
rnacentral:rRNA from 1 species